GAUGAACGCUGGCGGCGUGCCUAAUACAUGCAAGUCGAGCGAACAGACGAGGAGCUUGCUCCUCUGACGUUAGCGGCGGACGGGUGAGUAACACGUGGAUAACCUACCUAUAAGACUGGGAUAACUUCGGGAAACCGGAGCUAAUCCCGGAUAAUAUAUUGAACCGCAUGGUUCAAUAGUGAAAGACGGUUUUGCUGUCACUUAUAGAUGGAUCCGCGCCGCAUUAGCUAGUUGGUAAGGUAACGGCUUACCAAGGCGACGAUGCGUAGCCGACCUGAGAGAGUGAUCGGCCGCACUAGAACUGAGACACGGUCCAGACUCCUAAGGGAGGCAGCAGUAGGGAAUCUUCCGCAAAGGGCGAAAGCCUGACGGAGCAACGCCGCGUGAGUGAUGAAGGUCUUCGGAUCGUAAAACUCUGUUAUGGGGGAAGAACAAAUGUGUAAGUAACUAUGCACGUCGUGACGGUACCUAAUCAGAAAGCCACGGCUAACUACGUG
rnacentral:rRNA from 1 species